rnacentral:rRNA from 1 species
UACGUAGGGUGCAAGCGUUACUCGGAAUUACUGGGCGUAAAGCGUGCGCAGGCGGUUUUGUAAGUCUGUUGUGAAAUCCCCGGGCUCAACCUGGGAAUGGCAAUGGAGACUGCAAGGCUAGAGUUUGGCAGAGGGGGGUAGAAUUCCACGUGUAGCAGUGAAAUGCGUAGAUAUGUGGAGGAACACCGAUGGCGAAGGCAGCCCCCUGGGUCAAAACUGACGCUCAUGCACGAAAGCGUGGGGAGCAAACAGG